rnacentral:rRNA from 1 species
UUCCUAGUGUAGCGGUGAAAUGCGUAGAUAUUAGGAAGAACACCAGUGGCGAAGGCGCUCUACUGGGCCAUUACUGACGCUGAUGGACGAAAGCUAGGGGAGCGAAAGGGAUUAGAUACCCCUGUAGUCCUAGCUGUAAACGAUGGACACUAGGUGUUGGCCGUAUCGACCCGGUCAGUAUCGAAGCAAACGCGUUAAGUGUCCCGCCUGGGGAGUACGCACGCAAGUGUGAAACUCAAAGGAAUUGACGGGGGCCCGCACAAGCGGUGGAGUAUGUGGUUUAAUUCGAUGCAACGCGAAGAACCUUACCAGGGAUUGACAUCCUACGAACUUUCGUGAAAGCGAUUGGUGCCUUCGGGAACGUAGAGACAGGUGGUGCAUGGCUGUCGUCAGCUCGUGUCGUGAGAUGUUGGGUUAAGUCCCGCAACGAGCGCAACCCUCGUCCUUAGUUGCCAUCAUUAAGUUGGGCACUUUAAGGAGACUGCCGGUGACAAACCGGAGGAAGGUGGGGAUGACGUCAAGUCAUCAUGCCCCUUACAUCCUGGGCUACACACGUACUACAAUGCAACGGACAAAGGGCAGCCAACUAGCGAUAGUGAGCUAAUCCCAUAAACCGUUGCUCAGUUCAGAUUGCAGGCUGCAACUCGCCUGCAUGAAGGCGGAAUCGCUAGUAAUCGCAGGUCAGCAUACUGCGGUGAAUACGUUCCCGGGCCUUGUACACACCGCCCGUCACACCAUGGAAGUUGGCCACGCCCGAAGUCGUUACCCCAACCGUUUACGGAGGGGGACGCCGAAGGCAGGGCUGAUGACUGGGGUGAAGUCGUAACAAGGUAACC